GCAGGGUGUAUGGGACUAUCUGGUCUAUGACACCGGCUUCCCAAGCCGGGAACCCGGGUUCGAAUCCCGGCAGCCGCACCA
rnacentral:tRNA from 1 species